AACAUCGCGCACCUGCGGGAACCUGCGGAGGGAUCAUUACUGAGUCACGUGCUCAAACAACCCUUCUGUGGACCUGAAAUAAAACCGUUGCCUCGGCGGGCGGUCCCCCCCAAGCAAACCCCACGUGGUGGGUUAGGGGACCAGACAGUCCGGCACUCUUAAGGCGUCCGGCGCCAGCCGCUGGCCCCAAACAAUUAAACUCUAGUAACCUUUACCUUCUGAGUUUCAAUAUUUAAAAAU
rnacentral:misc_RNA from 1 species